GCGUUCGUGAUGUAAUGGUAGCAUGUGAGCCUUCCAAGCUUUUCGUCAGGGUUCGAGCCCCUGCGAGCGCA
rnacentral:tRNA from 1 species